GAAAGAAGGAGUUACGACGAAUCCGACCCGGCUCGCUCAACCCGACUGGUUUGUUCUUUCUGAGGAGGUCCCCAAAAAAAAAAGAGAAGAGAGAAGAGAGAAAUUGAAUCUAAUCUCUCAGCCAUUAGUUUAAUUCUUCCCAGUCACGUUUUCUUCUCCUGCGGUUUCGCUCUAAAUCCUUUCUCUGUGUUAAAAAGGCCUUUUUUUUUUUUUUGUGUGUUACUGUUGUGUUUAGGACUUAAAAGGGGGAUUGAUCUUUUUUUUAAGUAUUAUAGAUUGGUUCUGUUGUGUUGUGUGGUCUGAGAAUUGCAAUUGUCGUCAUGUAUAGAUAGCGGAACCCUAAUCGAUUUGAGUCAUGAAAUCAUCAGAAACCCUAAUUUCUGAGCCGUCUUCCCUCAAUAGAGACCUCCGGGAUCAUAAUGAUGACGAAGAAGAAGAAGAAGAAGAAGAAGAGGAAGAAGAUGUUGAUUUCAAUCCUUUUCUUAAGGAUACUCCUUCCCUUGAAGCUUCUUCCAGUUUGAGCUCUGAAAUUGAGACUCUUGAUGGUGAAAUUGUCAAUAGCAUUCCUGUUUCCCUUAAGGACGACCAUGUCCCCAUGCCAAGUAAUAAUGAUGUCUCGUGUCAAGAAGAACCAGUCCCUGAGGACUCUCUUGACCCCGGUGGCUUUGUUAGAGAAGAGCCUGGUGAGAGGAGAGUAGAUGCGAAUGAAGAUCAAUUGUGUGACAUGAUGAUCCAAACUCAGAAAACACAACGUUUUACAUCAACUGAGGAGGGGGAGGAGGAGGAGGAGGAGGAGGAUGCCAUCUGCAAGCGUACUAGAGCUCGGUAUUCGCUUGCCAGUUUCACCCUUGAUGAUCUUGAGGCUUUUCUCCAGGAGACCGAUGACGAGGAUGAUAUUCCCAAUGUCGACGAUGAGGCAGAAUACCGCAAGUUUCUCGCUGCUGUUUUACAUAGCGGUGAUACUGAGGCUCCCUUGGCACAGGGUGGAACUAAUGAUGAUGACGAUGAUGAUGAUGAGGAUAACGAUUUAGACUUCGAGAUUGAACUUGAGGAAGCUCUGGAGACUGAUGACGAGGAUAUUAUCCCGGAAAAGGUCACCACAGGUGACAACAAGAAAAGCACUAAGCGACGCCCCGUGACUAGGCAGAAGAGACAGCUUAACAACAACAUCUCCGCUCACCAAAAGAACAGUUCUCCUGAACAGGCUGGCAGAUUAUUACGCCCUCUUGUACCUAUCUUACCCAUUGCAUCACCUGCUAGAAUGUUUUCUGCUACUGAAGCAGUUGCUUCAUCUUCAGAAUACAGGACAACAAAUGGCUUCAGUCAAGCCCAAAUGGGAGAACUGCAUUGUUUGAUUCACGAUCACCUUCAACUUCUUAUCCAAGUGUACUCUCUUUGUGCGCUGGAUCAUUCACGCCAGCACAUUGGAACGCAAGUCCAAAGACUUCUAUCUGAGAUGCUCAAACAACACCAAGGAUAUCUUUCACGCCCAAUUCAUCCUCUCAGCACUGCUUCCGCAUCAUCCGUUCUGGAUAUUGUGGAUCUAGCUGGAAGAUAUCUAGUUGAUGUUUCUGAUGCUGUUCAAGACUAUCGACGGUGUCAAGUAGAAUCCGGUUUUGAUGCUUCAUCUCAAAGAGUGCCACUAUUUACACUUCCUCACCAAGAAGUUGGCGGUGAGAUUGUAAACAAUCCUCUUUCAUCGCCUAGUUCAAGUAAGUCGUCGCCAUCAGGUCGUCAGCAAUCUAAGAAGACGUUAGCUGCUACACUUGUUGAGUCAGCCCAGAAGCAAUCUGUUGCCUUGGUCCACAAGGAUAUCGCCAAGUUAGCUAAAAGAUUUUUGCCGUUUUUUAGAGUAUCGCUGUAUCCCCACAAGCCACCUCAUGUAGCUGUCGCCAAUCGGGUCCUAUUCACUGAUGCUGAGGAUGAAUUACUGGCUCUUGGAAUUAUGGAAUAUAACUCAGACUGGAAGACAAUAAAGCAGCGCUUUCUUCCAUGUAAAGGCGAGCAUCAGAUUUAUGUCAGGCAAAAAAACCGGAGAUCAUCUAAAGCCCCAGAAAAUCCAAUUAAGGCAGUUCUGAGGAUGAAAAGCUCUCCCCUGACUCCACAAGAGAUAGUAUGUAUACAAGAGGGGCUGAAGUACUUCAAAUAUGAUUGGAUGUCUGUGUGGAAAUUCUUCGUGCCUCAUCGAGACCCAUCCUCACUGCCACGACAAUUGCGCACUGCCCUUGGAAUUCAGAAGUCAUAUAAGCUAGAUGAUGUCAAGAAGGAGAAGCGGAGAUUAUAUGAUACAAACAGAAAGUCCAGAGAGCAGCAGGCAUCUUCAAAAGAGGAUCGUCAUGGUGCUUCUAAAGCCAAUGAAUAUCAUGUUAGAGAUGAAUUGGUUGAGAGUUCAGGUGAGGCAUACCUACAUGAAGGAUUUUUAGCAGACUGGAGGCCUGGCAUGCCAACUCUCUUUUAUUCUGCACCUAUGCACUCCUUUGACAAGGCAAAGGAUGUUCCCGGUGAUCGACAUGAGUCAAUACAAACAUGUACCGUUGAAGGAUCUACAAAACCUGAUCUUUGUGGCGCCCAAAUUCUGACAUGUACGCAGAGGCUUGCACCGUCUUUCGUUCCUCUGUACCACCACACAUCUGGUACAGUACCCGGCGCCUCAGAAGCAUUGACAAGUAUGCGGCCAUAUCGUAAUCGAAAACUAUGCAACAGAAGUGUUGUGAGACUAGCCCCUGAUUUACCUCCCGUUAACCUUCCAUCUUCGGUCCGUGUUAUCUCGCAGUCAGCUUUUGCGAAGAAUCAGUCUGAAACCUCCUCCAAAACUUGUAUCAUUAAGGAUGGCAUAUCAGAUGUUUCGGGGAGGGAAAAUUUGGGUAUUGAACCUCCUUGCUUUUCAGCUGACAGGGAUAACAAUGGUCCCUCUAGCGAGAAGGUGGUAGAUUUGCAGGAAGAUGUGCCUGCAGAGAGCUCCUCUGGGAUGGGUGUGCAGAGCAAUGACUCAGAUCUUCAAAUGCAUCCUUUAUUGUUCCGGACCCCUGAGCAAGGACAGAUUACAUGUUACCCUCCAAACAGAGACCCAGGGGGUUCUAGUUUUAGUUUCUUUUCUGACAAUCGACCUCAGCUGCUAAGUCUUUUCAACAGUCCAAAGCAAAUCAAUCACUCAACUGAUGAAAUCCUCAAAAAAUCAUCAUCAAACGAACAUGAGACAGCACAGGUUGACAGCUGUUUUCAUCCUCUUCUUCAAAGAAGUCAGUGUGAAAGUAUUUUUCAUACUAGUAGACGUGGGAACUUAGUCCCAGACAUUGGCAAGAAAGGGAAAUUAUGUCAACUUCAGGAUACUUCUGGUGCUGUUGAGCACACUUCAAUCCCUGGUGCUGGUCGUAAUGAUGUCAGCUUGAAAUCUUUAAGCUCUAGCAAACAUGGUAAAGAUGUGAACUUAGAUAUCUAUCUAAGUCCGAGCUCUUCUAAGGUAAAUAAUCGUGGUAGUGUCUCAGCAGCAAAAAUUUCAGAAGCUCCAGACACCUGCAUGACUCAACGUAAUGACGGCUCUGAAGUGCCUGGAUCAACUGCACCAAGUGAUAAUAUUAGUAGAUGCAUUGACGAAAUGGGUGAUCAGUCUAAUCUAGGUAUAGUGAUGGAGCAGGAGGAAUUAAGUGACUCUGACGAAGAGAUGAUGGAAGAAGAACAUGUUGAGUUUGAGUGUGAAGAGAUGGCUGAUUCUGAAGGAGAAGAAGGCUCAGAAUGCGAAGAAAUCACUGAAAUGCAAGAUAAGGAUAACAGAAGCUCUGCGGUAGAAAUAGCGUCAACAGAUGUCGAUUCUGGCAAAGAACUAGGCAAGGAUUCUCCAAACAGUCCUUGGUUGAGUCUGGAUCCAAGUAAUCGUGGCUUAAGCAGUAAUGUUAAGGACAUAGAGAAGACAGAGCUAGUAAAUGAAGUCACCAUUGCACAAUAUGGUCCUAGUAUAUCACGCAAAAAAAAGACACCAGUGAAGAGUAGAGAUGCAGAAUUAAAGGAAGAAGCAGGUGGUGCUCGGUUAAGACUGGGUCCUCUCGCCCUCCCUCCAGUGAAGAAACCCAAGAAGUGUGGUGGGCAAAGUCCAAGUAUUGAGACAACCUGAGAAACUAGUUGACCCAGCAACAAAUGAUUAGCUCUUCUCCACCCCAAAUUUGCUUCCAGGUUCAGAGAUAUCAUUUCAUGUCAAUCUGGAGAGCUGUGUUCUUUGGAGGUUACGGCACCCAUGGAGUUUGCUACUAACGAGGUUAUGUCACUUCCAUUAGAACCGCGAGUACGUUGCAGGGUGCAGAGAUGAGUUGUGCAUGAUACAGAAGAAAGAAGAUUCGGCUUGGGCAGAUCAGAGAACCUAUUGGCAGGGAAGAGAUAAUUGAUAGAGUGAUCAGGGAGAAGAAUUAGCUUGAAAGGGAAGAAAAGGUGGAAUCCGACUGGCGCUUCUGAUGAUUUGGCAUCGAGCAAUGCUCCAAUGAGCUGGGAUGAUUCGAGUUCACCAGUAGAGUGAUGGAGACCUACAAUAUCUAACAACUCCUCCUCUUCAUUGGCUGCCACUGAUUUCCAGUUUCCUCCACGUUUCUACAAAGCUUUCAGCUCAGAUUCCAUGGUAAGAUAUUCUCUCUUUUUGUUUUCAGGUAUCUUUUGUACAUGAGCAAAAACAAUUCUUGAAUUUGAAAGAUUUUAACCCUUGUGGUUUCUUACAACUAUCUCUGAUGGUGCCGGUGGUAGUUUUUUCUUUGGGUUUUGUGCGAAAAAAUCCUCCAAUUAAUUUUUUUUUGCAAGAAUAUCUUCUACAUCAAAUAAAUGCAGGUCAAUACUAUCAUCUCAAAAGUCACCCGCAAUAUAACCCUUCUCUAUAUUGAUGAGGUGGCAGAAUAAAAAUCUUGUUGUUUUGAGGGAAAAAACGACAAAACAUUAAAAUUUAUUUAUUUUUAAUUAAAAAAAUAAUUAUAUCUUUGUCUUCUUCCUCCAUCUCUGCAAGUUCCUCACUGGACACUAAGAUUUUCAAAGGCAGCCAAGCUAAACCAUGACUGAUAUUAUCUAGAGCUAACUUAAACAAUCGAGUUUCAGACCCAUUCUCAUACAACCGUCCUCGCCUGCACACACAAACCGAGAGAUGCUAAGAGAUCAAAAAAUCAACUUCACACCACAAAGGAAUACAUUUUUGUUCUGUUAAUCACUUGGCAAAGGAUUGAAGUAACCCAAGACCUCAAGAUGCUUCUCGUCUCUUGGGGAUCUGCUAUCUGCGGUCAUAACCCAAAAAACCAAAGGAUAAUAACCUUAUAAUAGCUUUUAAUUCAGGAAAAAUAAGUUUGAUACCCUUAUUCUCAUUCUUGAUAGACCGUAUAUCAAAGAUAGAAGUUCUCUUCAAUAUUCUUAGUUUUCUAAUUAAAACGAUCUUAAAAAAUUAGAAGAAACUAAAUUGCAAUUAAGAAAAGAAAAAUUAAAUUGUAUUCUCACAACUACCAGUGUUCACGUUCUCCACACCAGCAGCGAUCUCAUCUCCGGCUGUCCGGUACAGUCGACAUCAACAUCCAUUAAUUCUUUUUUUUUUUUUAGAAAAAGAUUAUCUUCAUAAAGCACUUGAUUGGAUCCUUAAGUUUCUUUCCUAUAACUUUCGAUCUAAGAAAACAACGAGAGAGAAGACGAAUUUUAAAUAUAAGGAAACAAUUUUGGAAUCUAAGAAUUGCAAUCGUAAUCGAGUGAGGAACUUGCAGAGAUGGAGGAAGAAGACAAAGAUAUAAUUAUUUUUUUAAUUAAAAAUAAAUAAAUUUUAAUGUUUUGUCGUUUUUUCCCUCAAAACAACAAGAUUUUUAUUCUGCCACCUCAUCAAUAUAGAGAAGGGUUAUAUUGCGGGUGAUAGUAUUGAUCUGCAUUUAUUUGAUGUGGAAGGGAACUUAGAGAAAAGCAAGUGAGAUUGGAGCCUGAAAGGGCUGAGAUGGGAAAAGCCCAGGAGAAGGAGAGAGAAUGGUAAAGAGUGUUGGCAAGACGAGCAGUAAAGAGGGCGGCUACAAGGGGAGCACGUGAAAGAGCAGCGGUUCCAAGAGUCCAUGCUAAAGCACGUGAAAGGGCAGCUGCAGGGGCACGAGUAAAGGCUGAGAAAGUUGCAGCAGAAGCUAGAGAAAGGGCGAAUGCUGAAGCGCGGGAGAAGGAAGCAGGUGUUAGGGCAGAACGAGCUGCUGUGGAAAGGGCAGCCGGACAAGCUAAAGGUAAACAGCAGCUAGAAAAUAACAGUGAUCUUGACUCCUUUUUUUAAUUCGGUUUCUAGACCAAACAGCGCUCCACGACAGAGAACUAACAGGGCUACAAGGGAAGCACGUGAAAGAGCAGCCGCUGAAGCUCAUGCGGAAGUUCAGAGAGAUGCUGUUAGGAAGGCUGCCCGAGAGCGUGCAGAAAGAGCAGCGGGUCGAAGAGCCCAAAAAGCCCUUGCCGAAGCACGUAAAAGGGCAGCUGCAGGGGCACAAGCUAGGAUCAUUCCCUCAAACUAUAUCAUCAUACUUUAACUCUCAAACGAACUAUGAAGAGCAUCAGGCUAAAG